rnacentral:rRNA from 1 species
UACGUAGGUGGCAAGCGUUGUCCGGAAUUAUUGGGCGUAAAGCGCGCGCAGGCGGUUUCUUAAGUCUGAUGUGAAAGCCCACGGCUCAACCGUGGAGGGUCAUUGGAAACUGGGAGACUUGAGUGCAGAAGAGAAGAGCGGAAUUCCACGUGUAGCGGUGAAAUGCGUAGAGAUGUGGAGGAACACCAGUGGCGAAGGCGAGUCUCUGGGCUGAUACCGACGCUGAGGCGCGAAAGCCAGGGGAGCAAACGGG